rfam:[Eubacterium] eligens ATCC 27750 chromosome, complete genome.
AAUAAGGCAGUUCUUGAUGAGCAGAUAGAAGAGGAAAGAAGACUUUUUUAUGUUGCAAUGACAAGGGCAAAAGAAAAGUUGUAUCUUCUGUCCCCCAA